rnacentral:RNase_P_RNA from 1 species
CAAGCAGACCGCCUUAUCGCUGUUUAUCGAUAGAUAAAGAGAGGAAAGUCCGGACACCACAGAGAAGCAUAGCGGGUAACACCCGUCGGGUUGUGCAAACAAUUUAGGACAAGUGCAACAGAAAGCAAGUACAGGUAAUGCUGUAGUGAAACCAGGUAAACUCUAUGCGGUGAAAUUUCAAGUAUAUCGGCAUUUAAGGGUUUCUCGUCCGUUGUCGAAGGGUAGAAAGAUGGAGCAAUUGAGUAAUUGAUUGCCUAGAUAAAUGAUAAGGCAUCAAAGCCAUUUGAUGACAGAAUCCGGCUUAUAGGUCUGCUUUUUUU